ensembl:lncRNA
CUGAAUGCUUGUAAAUGUUGAAAUUACAGCAUUUAUUUUCUAAAAACGUCUAAAUCGUGCAACAUAGUUGGAUCACGGCUACUUGCGCAAGUUAUCAAGGCAGAUAUCACAAACGAGCUGUUCGAUUAUAAAGGUUUUACUGACACCAAUAACGAUUUUAUGACAACUAAUCUUUAGUCUAAAUUACAAUAUUUGUGGAUGUGGUUGUAGUUAUUUGCUGGCUAAUAACAAUAAGCUUUGAGUGAGACCUAUGGCAGCUAACGUUACAGUUUAGCUGCUAACCAGCAAAGUUGCACAUGAUUUUCCAUCCGGUUGGUUCCUGUGAUGCUUGAAGGACAGCAAUAUGUCCUGACCUACAGGUUCAGCCAGGACCACUUGGAGCUUUUCUUCAACUCCAUCAGAGCAUCUGAGGCAAUGUGACGGCACAGGAUCACACAGAGUCCCUACCAGCUGUCAUCGACACCUCUACAAGCCUGUCAGCUGUAGAUGUGUCCUCUGCAGCAGGAGGAGAAGAUCUUCCAUCCCCGUUUGCUGACAUUCCUGCCCUAGUACAUGAUCACAGCUACCUUCCCGUCCACUUCGAUGGUCUUGUGGACAACGCUUUCAUGUACAUUUCAGGAUUUGUUGUGCGACAGGCUCUGAAGAAGCUGUCGUGUGAUGUCUGCGUGCCAGCCUGGUGACAGAUGCUGCAUCUGCCAUCAAGGACCAGAGCUACCACCUGC